rnacentral:lncRNA from 1 species
AAACUGCAAGAGAGUAAUUUAAAAUUUAGGGUAAAUUACAGAAAACCUUCUUAUCAAAAUUCGAUUUUUUACUUUCCCUCUCUAUCAUUUAAAAACCUACACUUUGCCCUCCUAAAAAAUAAAAAAUAUUCACUUUGGACCCUGCUAUCAAUGUUCCGUUAGGGUUCCAUCUAUAUUCCAUUAUUAUUUUUUUUUUAUACCAAAAAUAUCCUUCUACAUAUAAAGAAGAGUUGGGGGAGGAAAGGAAGAAGGAGAAGGCAUUUUGGUCAUUUUAUCAAUACUAUUAACAUCAUACCUCUGUGAACAUUUUUCAUUUUUUAGGGCGACAAAGUAUAGAUUUUUAAAUGCCAGAAAAGAAAAGUAAAAAAGCGGAUUCUGAUAGAAAGAUUUUCUGUAAUUUAGGGUAAAAUUUAUUCUAUAUUUUGUUAUAUAAUGAUAAGAAAGGACAAAAUAAAGAAUAUAUAUGAAUUUUUUAUGAGACAGUGCAUUCGUGUCUGCGAGCCUGACAAAGACACAUACGCGACACAGACACGCAAGACUUAUAGUCGCAUCACUGGAG